AUUAGUAGUAAAAAAAAUUAGAAUCCACUCCUGGGCCUGUCCUAGCCGGAAUGAAGAGCAAAAGAGAUAGAUGAUUCUGUAACCUGUGGAAGCAGAGCACAUGGGUCCAGAUGCUGCCUCCAGAGGAGAUGUUCCAUCCAUUUGAGCCAGAAAUUGGGUUUGGGUUCAGUCAUCCACCGGAAAGCCAUCACAGCAACCAGAGUAGAGCAGACCUUCCCAAGCUUAACUGGCCAGCCUUACCACCAAGCAUGUCACCCAGCAGACAUGAAAAAAAGAACUGUGAGAUGGACAAGUAAAGACUAAAAGACUCUUUUCAAUCCCCAGAAGACAGCUGGAAAGACUGGGGGAGGGUAGAAAUUCAUUGUAAGGUUUUCUUUCUUGUCUCAUGUAUAUUGUAAUCAGUUUAAUGUACUCAUGUAAGGAUUGUAUUUGAGAAUGGCUGGCACAGCAAGUUCUGAAUACCUUGGACUGGGAGGAAAAUUUGUCCAGCAUAUUUCUUUUGUCUAUUGUAAAAGUAGCUGCAUACACAAGCACAUGUACAGAGACACACCAUUCAGAAUUAGACAGAGGAUAUCUCCUUCACCUACCUCCAUACAAAGCUGCUCCUGG